rnacentral:rRNA from 1 species
AUUGAACGCUGGCGGCAUGCCUUACACAUGCAAGUCGAACGGUAGAGUAGCAAUACUUGAGAGUGGCGAACGGGUGAGUAAUGCAUCGGAACAUGCCCAGUCGUGGGGGAUAAAGUAGCGAAAGUUACGCUAAUACCGCAUACGAUCUAUGGAUGAAAGCGGGGGACUCGCAAAAGCCUCGCGCGAUUGGCGUGGCCGAGGUUAGAGUAGGUAGUUGGUGGGGUAAAAGCCCUCCAAUCCAACGAGCUGUAGCGGGUCUGAGAGGACGACCAGCCACACUGGGAGUGAGACUCGGCCCAGACUCCUACGGGAGGCAGCAGUGGGGAAUUUUAGACAAUGGACGAGAGGCUGAUCCAGCAAUGCCGCGUGCAGGACGAAGGCCUUCGGGUUGUAAACGGCUUUUGUACGGAGCGAAAAGCUUUGGAUUAAUACUCCGAGGUCAUGACGGUACCGUAAGAAUAAGCACCGGCUAACUACGUGCCAGCAGCCGCAGUAA